rnacentral:rRNA from 1 species
AGAGUUUGAUCCUGGUUCAGGAUGAACGCUAGCGGCAGGCUUAACACAUGCAAGUCGAGGGGCAUCACGUGUAGCAAUACAUGGUGGCGACCGGCGGAAGGGUGCGUAACGCGUGAGCAACAUGCCCGUAUCAGGGGGAUAAACCAGGGAAACUUGGUCUAAUACCGCAUAAUAAGUUUCUAAGGCAUCUUAGGGAUUUUAAAGUUUUGGUGGAUACGGAUUGGCUCGCGUGACAUUAGCUAGAUGGUAAGGUAACGGCUUACCAUGGCAACGAUGUCUAGGGGUUCUGAGAGGAAGAUCCCCCACACUGGAACUGAGACACGGUCCAGACUCCUACGGGAGGCAGCAGUGAGGAAUAUUGGACAAUGGAUGGAAAUCUGAUCCAGCCAUGCCGCGUGCAGGAAGACAGCCCUAUGGGUUUUAAACUGCUUUUAUACGGGAGCAAUAAGGACUAUGCGUAGUUUGAUGAGAGUACCGUACGAAUAAGCACCGGCUAACUCCGUGCCAGCAGCCGCGGUAAUAC